AUGGACGCGAGCGGCCGCCGCGGGAGGGUGCUAUGGCUCGUCAGGCUCCAGAUUGUUUUGAUUCUAGUCUGGUCUGGAGGAGCUAGUGCAAAUUCCGACGACGGCAAAACAUUGUCUCUGGAAAGCGCUGAUGCUGGAGACAAGGAUGUUUACCUUAGCCAUUCCUGCAUCCACGACGAGAUACUGCAUCAGCGGCGACGCGCUGGUCGGAAGGAGUAUUCUGUCAUGCCACAAGUAUACCAUGUGCCCCGAGAGAAAGUGGAGCGCGUAAGAGGCAGGCAAUUGUUGGGGGUGUCAUCUUGGCGUGCUCCACGGAGCAAUGUCAAGAAGCCAAUACGGAUAUACCUCAACUAUGAUGCUGUUGGGCACUCACCCGACCGGGAUUGUAAAAAUGUCGGUGACAUUGUCAAGCUUGGUGAACCGCCUGUACCAUCAGCACCAGGAACACCUAUCUGUUCUCCUCACGGAGACCCACCAUUGGUGGGAGAUUGCUGGUACAAUUGCACCUUUGAAGAUAUAGCUGGGGAGGACAAGAAGCAACGACUUCGGAAGGCACUGGGACAAACAGUAGAGUGGUUCAGAAAAGCUUUAGCUGUCGAACCUGUCAAGGGGAACCUGCGGCUCAGUGGGUACUCUGCUUGUGGCCAGGAUGGAGGCGUACAGCUUCCCCAUGCGUAUAUUGAAGAUGGUGUUGCUAAUGCUGAUUUAGUACUCUUAGUAACAACUAGACCAACAACAGGCAACACCCUUGCGUGGGCUGUAGCCUGUGAACGGGACCAAUGGGGUCGUGCAAUUGCAGGACAUGUUAAUGUGGCCCCACGUCAUUUGACGGCUGAAGCAGAAACAUUACUUUCUGCUACUUUGAUACAUGAGGUCAUGCAUGUUCUAGGCUUUGAUCCUCAUGCCUUCACACAUUUUCGUGACGAAAGGAAAAGAAGGCGUGAUCAGGUUACUGUUCAGGCUUUGGACGAAAAGCUUGGAAGAAUGGUUACCCGUGUUGUCCUUCCUCGAGUUGUAAUGCACUCUAGGCAUCAUUAUGGAGCAUUUUCCCAGAACUUCAGUGGGCUGGAAUUGGAAGAUGGCGGAGGCAGGGGUACCUCAGGUUCACAUUGGGAGAAAAGACUCUUAAUGAAUGAGAUCAUGACUGGGUCGGUGGAUACAAGAUCAGUGGUUUCAAAGAUGACUUUAGCAUUAUUGGAGGACAGUGGAUGGUAUCAAGCUAAUUAUAGCAUGGCUGAGCAUUUAGACUGGGGUCGAAAUCAGGGAACAGAGUUUGCGAUCUCCCCCUGCAAUUCAUGGAAAGGGGCAUACCGCUGCAACACAACUCAACUAUCAGGAUGCACAUACAAUAGGGAGGCAGAAGGUUACUGUCCUAUAGUUAGCUAUAGUGGGGACUUGCCCAAGUGGGCUCAAUAUUUCCCUCAAGCCAAUAAAGGUGGACAGUCAUCAUUAGCUGAUUACUGCACAUAUUUUGUUGCUUAUUCCGAUGGCUCGUGCACUGACGUAAAUAGUGCACGAGCACCUGACAGAAUGUUAGGUGAAGUACGAGGAAGUAACUCGAGGUGUAUGGCUUCAACACUAGUGCGAACUGGGUUUGUCCGUGGAUCUAUGACCCAGGGAAAUGGCUGUUAUCAGCAUCGCUGCACAAAUAACUCCUUAGAGGUUGCUGUUGACGGCGUCUGGAAGUCAUGUCCAGAAUCUGGUGGCCCAGUUCAGUUCCCAGGCUUCAAUGGGGACUUGAUUUGCCCGGCAUAUCAUGAAUUAUGCAACACCGUACCAGUCCAAAUAAGCGGCCAGUGCCCCAAGUCGUGCAGUUUCAAUGGUGAUUGCAUUGCUGGAACCUGCCACUGCUUCCCUGGGUUCCAUGACCAUGACUGCAGUAGAAGAUCUUGCCCAGACAAGUGCAGUGGUCAUGGUAUAUGCAAAGCUAAUGGGAUCUGUGAAUGCGAAAGUGGCUGGACGGGAAUUGACUGCUCAACAGCGGUUUGUGAUGAGCAGUGUAGUUUGCAUGGAGGGGUUUGUGACAAUGGUAAAUGUGAGUUUCGAUGUUCAGAUUAUGCGGGCUACACUUGUCAAAAGGGUUCGACAAUACUGCCCAGCCUGUCAAUGUGUCAUGAUGUACUGGUUCGGGAUUCUGAUGGGCAGCAUUGUGCACCAAGUGAACUCAGCAUACUACAGCAACUCGAAGCAGUAGUUCUUGUGCCAAAUUACAAUAGAUUGAUGCCAAGUGGGCGGACCUUCCUUAACUUCUUCAACAAUGCCAAUUGUGCAGCAGCGGCGAAGCGGCUGGCUUGCUGGAUCUCAAUUCAAAGGUGCGACGAGGAUGGGGACAACAGGCUUCGGGUAUGCUACUCCGCUUGCGAGUUGUACAAUACGGCAUGUGGGGCGGGUCUUGAUUGCUCGGACCAGACCCUUUUUAGCAAGAGGGAGGAAGAAGAGAAGGGCGUUCCAUGCACAGGAUACGGCGAGAAGAAGUCUUCCUGGAUAUGA
rnacentral:rRNA from 1 species